GAUGAACGCUGGCGGCGUGCCUAAUACAUGCAAGUAGAACGCUGAAGGAAGGAGCUUGCUCUUUCCGGAUGAGUUGCGAACGGGUGAGUAACGCGUAGGUAACCUGCCUGGUAGCGGGGGAUAACUAUUGGAAACGAUAGCUAAUACCGCAUAACAGUAGAUGUUGCAUGAUAUCUACUUAAAAGGUGCAAUUGCACCACUACCAGAUGGACCUGCGUUGUAUUAGCUAGUUGGUGAGGUAACGGCUCACCAAGGCGACGAUACAUAGCCGACCUGAGAGGGUGAUCGGCCACACUGGGACUGAGACACGGCCCAGACUCCUACGGGAGGCAGCAGUAGGGAAUCUUCGGCAAUGGACGGAAGUCUGACCGAGCAACGCCGCGUGAGUGAAGAAGGGUUUCGGAUCGUAAAGCUCGGUUGUAAGAGAAGAACGAGUGUGAGAGUGGAAAGUUCACACUGUGACGGUAUCUUACCAGAAAGGGACGGCUAACUACGUG
rnacentral:rRNA from 1 species